rnacentral:misc_RNA from 1 species
GAUGAAGAACGCCGCGAAAUGCGAUAAGUAAUGUGAAUUGCAGAAUUCAGUGAAUCAUCGAAUCUUUGAACGCACAUUGCGCCCCUUGGUAUUCCGAGGGGCAUGCCUGUUCGAGCGUCAUUAUAACCCCUCAAGCUCAGCUUGGUGUUGGGGCCUGCUGCACUGGCAGCCCUUAAAAUCAGUGGCGGCGCCAUCUGGCUCUAAGCGUAGUAAUUCUUCUCGCUAUGGAGUCCUGGUGGAUGCUUGCCAUCAACCCCCAAUUUUUCUAUGGUUGACCUCGGAUCAGGUAGGGAUACCCGCUGAACUUAAGCAUAUCAAUAAGCGGAGGA